AUGGUGUGCUUGAAAGGGUGGUGCGAGUGGCCAAGGGGACACGGGGUGCCCACUCGGUGGUCAGAUGGGCUGCAGGCCCAGGGAGCUGACCAGGAUGGGGGAGCAGGGGGCACGGGUCAGGCCAGACUCCCACCAGAGGGGAGCGGCCCCGGGGCUCUGAUCCAGGAGGCCACACUCACCGACCCCAGCUGUGUCCAGACACCCCAGCUGCCACGCACAGAGCAGGGUGGCCAGACCACGCCGGCCGGUCCCUCCACCACAGCCCCGAAAGUCUACCCUCUGGAGUCCAGCUGCGGGGACACGUCCAGCUCCACCGUGACCCUGGGCUGCCUGGUCUCCAGCUACAUGCCCGAGCCGGUGACCGUGACCUGGAACUCAGGUGCCCUGACCAGCGGCGUGCGCACCUUCCCGGCCGUCCUGCAGUCUUCCGGGCUCUACUCUCUCAGCAGCAUGGUGACCGUGCCCGCCAGCACCUCAGGAUCCCAGACCUUCAUCUGCAAUGUAGCCCACCCGGCCAGCAGCACCAAGGUGGACAAGCGUGUUGGAGUCCCCAGUUGCUGCUCCAAGUGUCCUAAACAGCCUUGUGUGAGGGGACCGUCUGUCUUCAUCUUCCCCCCGAAACCCAAGGACACCCUGAUGAUCACUGGAAAGCCCGAGGUCACGUGUGUGGUGGUGGACGUGGGCCAGGAUGACCCCGAGGUCAAGUUCUCCUGGUUCGUGAAUGAUGUGGAGGUGCACACGGCCAGGACGAAGCCGAGAGAGGAGCAGUUCAACAGCACCUACCGUGUGGUCAGCGCCCUGCCCAUCCAACAUGAUGACUGGACUCAGGGAAAGGAGUUCAAGUGCAAGGUCAACAACAAAGGCCUCCCGGCCCCCAUUGUGAGGACCAUCUCCAAGACCAAAGGGCAGGCCCUGGAGCCACAGGUGUACGUCCUGGCCCCACCCCGGGAAGAGCUCAGCAAAAGCACGGUCAGCCUCACCUGCCUGAUCACCGGCUUCUACCCAGACUACAUCGCCGUGGAGUGGCGGAGAAACCGGCAGCCUGAGUCAGAGGGCAAGUAUGGCACGACCCAGCCCCAGCUGGACGCCGACGGCUCCUACUUCCUGUACAGCAGGCUCAGGGUGAACAAGAACAGCUGGCUAGAAGGAGACAGCUACACGUGUGCAGUGAUGCAUGAGGCUCUGCACAAUCGCUACACAGAGAAGUCCAUCUCUAAGCCUCCGGGCUCCAGGUCCAGCCGGGACCCCCCAGCCCCUCCCUGUGUGCAUUCCUCCUGGGCCGCCGUGAAUAAAGCACCCAGCGCCGCCCUGGGACCCUGCAACGCUGUGCUGGUUCUUUCCGAGGCAGAGCCCUGGUGA